rnacentral:snoRNA from 1 species
AUCCUCUAUCAGGACCGCACCUGGAGAGUUUCCAGUACUUUUCCAGUCUCGACUACGGGAGGGAGAAUCAAGCAGAGGCAUACCCAUUCCAUUCCUAGUUUGGGCAGUGGCUAGCUUGUGGAAGGCAAUCUGCUACAAGU